AAAACAUCAUCUGCUGCCAGAAAACAUCGUCUGAAUCCCAACCCCCCCUACACACUCCCCCUACACUACCGAGUGUCACUCCAAAAGAAGUCACACUCAGCUGUGGAGGGCACCUAUUAUUGAAGGGGGAGGGUAUAAAUACGAUCGUCAGGAAUGGGACGCCCUGUCGCCUCACCGGAAAACGGAAGACGUCAUCGCCAUGGUAACAGAAAGACGCCUACUGUCAUGGCUGUAGCGCUGUGGCACAGGUUGCAACUAACAAGGAUCGCUGCUGCUUCCAGAAGACGAAAGCGUCCCACUUUUUUCACUCACAUGUUUUCCAAUCCUAUUAUCUGGCAUUUCAGAUCCAACAAAUGAAUGAAUGAAUUCUGUCAGUUGUGUUCAAAUGUUAAGGUGUCAGGGGGUGCACAAUUAAAUCAAACGUCAGCAGAGAAGAAGAUUUGUUUCUUUUGUUUUAUCUUUUUACACCACUCUUUGUGAUGUUCUGUCAGUGUGAAAAAGGCGUGGGAGAAAUAAACGCAUGUGGAACUUA